UUACUCUCUUUGGCAGCACAGAUAUUAAAAUUACAAUGAUACAGAGAUUAGCAUGGCUCCUGCACAAGGAUGACACUCAAAUUGUAAAGUGUUCAGUAUAUUU